AUUGUUUGGUCAACUGGAGAUCUAGAAAAUCCAUGAGAGCUUCUCUGAACACAAAAAACCACCAGAUGAAAGAUAUACAUGGGCAUCAGGAUAUGUAUUUGGCAGAUUUUGCAUAUGAAGCAAAUAGACUGACAUGUAUCGGGAAUAGUUUUGACGUCAUAUGCGAAAAACCAUGGUAACAUUUUUUCAACACAUGCCAAAUGAAGUUCCCAAUUACCUUCCCUUGUUGCUCUUAUAAAUAUCAAUAAAAGUUC
rnacentral:lncRNA from 1 species